rnacentral:tRNA from 11 species
UCAGCUAACUUUUCUAGUCAUAAAGAAAAAUAGACAGUUAAGUUAAAAUAUCAUUAUAUUCACAGAA